UCGACCUCUUCUACUUGGAUCAGAUCAUUCAGUCGAGGCUAAGGUAGAUGUGGUCGUCACUCUACUUCAAAGUCAUUCCCUCAUUUUGUUCCUUCUGAUCACGAGCCUGAUGCCUAGUCUCCUUGAUCUUGAUUUUAAUGUUUUGUAUUAGCUGCUUUAGGUCUCAUAUUACUUGGUUAUUGUAUUUUGUACUUGGUUAUUGUAUGAGAA
rnacentral:lncRNA from 1 species